CAGCAGAUGGUGGGAAGCUAGGGGUUUCCUUCACCGCAAAUCCCCUUCAGGCGGGCCUUAUGCUGGUAGCGUGCUACAGACAUGUAUGGGACCCUUGCUUAAGCGUUGAGGCUCUGCCUCCAGCGGUAGUUCCUUAUAUGAACCGGGCCAGGCCGGAAGGAGCAACCCUAAAUAUAUCGCUUCUACGCUCUGGAGAUACAGGGCUGAGCAGAUGCAUGGUAAUCACAUGCGUGCGUGUGGUGCAAACCAGCUCUGCUG
rnacentral:SRP_RNA from 1 species